rnacentral:rRNA from 1 species
GACGAACGCUGGCGGCAUGCCUAACACAUGCAAGUCUAGGGUGUAGCAAUACACACUGGCGCACGGGUGAGUAACGCGUAGAUCAUCUGCCCCUAUCACCGACAUAACUCUUGGAAACGGGAGCUAAUAUCGGAUGAGGUGAGCAAUCAUCAAAGUUUCGACGGAUAGGGAUGAGUCUGCGUCUGAUUAGGUAGUUGGUGAGGUAAUGGCUCACCAAGCCUACGAUCAGUAGCUGGUCUGAGAGGACGAACAGCCACACUGGAACUGAGACACGGUCCAGACUCCUACGGGAGCAGCAGUGAGGAAUAUUGGACAAUGGGAGCAAUCCU